GCCACACGGGCACUGAGACACGGGCCCGACUCCUACGGGAGGCAGCAGUAGGGAAUAUUGGACAAUGGGCGCAAGCCUGAUCCAGCCAUCCCGCGUGAAGGAUUAAGGCCCUCUGGGUUGUAAACUUCUUUUCUCUGGGAAUAAAAAGUGGGAUUCUUUCCGCCUUGAAGGUACCAGAGGAAUAAGCACCGGCUAACUCCGUGCCAGCAGCCGCGGUAAUACGGAGGGUGCAAGCGUUAUCCGGGUUCACUGGGUUUAAAGGGAGCGUAGGUGGCUUUGUAAGUCAGUGGUGAAAUGCCGCAGCUCAACUGCGGAACUGCCAUUGAUACUGCUUAGCUUGAAUCACGUCGAGGUGGAUGGAAUAAUACAUGUAGCGGUGAAAUGCUUAGAUAUGUAUUAGAACACCGAUUGCGAAGGCAGUUCACUAGGCGUGUAUUGACACUGAGGCUCGAAAGCGUGGGGAUCAAACAGGAUUAGAUACCCUGGUAGUCCACGCCCUAAACGAUGUAAACUC
rnacentral:rRNA from 1 species